rnacentral:lncRNA from 1 species
AAUCGCACUAGGCUACGAGAUACCAACAGUUGAAUAUAAAUCAAAACUCAAGAGCUAAAAACAAUUAUGAUCACUGACUAGGUCGUAGAAGUAACGACACAACCAAUUUCUAUUUUUACCAAAGCAACUGACGUUAAAAAAAAUUUCCAGUUCACCACAGAAUGCACAAUACGGUAAGCUGAAACAUGAAUUAACAUAGUCUAGGAUUAAAGUCUACCAUAUAGCCCAAAUGUUCAGUCCAGUUAACAAAUAUCAACCACAUCCUAUAUACUCAGUUACAACCCAAAACAAAUAAGGAAUGGAGCUGCACGGAGACUUGAUCAAUGCCUCAUUUCAUUUCAAAAGCUUUGGAGAGUACAAAUAUGUACCUGGAGAUUGUAAUACAAGGAGGAAAUGAAAUCAGCAACAAAAAUAUAAUAGCAAAACAAAUUGACAGAAAUUGGACCAAAUCCAAUCUCAGAAACCACAGUAAUUCCAGGAAAAUGACUUUCAGAAUUUCAAAAUUAACAGCAGAUUUGAUAAACUUGACUGAACUUCAAAUAUAUACUCCAAUUUGACCCAAUAACACUUCAGGAAGGCUUCAUCUACUAGAAAUCACCAGGACAACUUGAAUAACACCAAAAACUACUUGAAAUCAAACCAGUAGACACCUCUAAACCUCAAUUACCAAUGAUUAAGCUAAGAAAGGCCACUCAGUCACUAAAACUGGAAAUUAGCCUAAUGUAACAAUAAUUUUUUUCUAAUUGUAUUUCUGUUUUUUAAUUUUUUUUUUUGAGGGGCCUACUAGUAUACCUACUACAUUGCCCCCAACCGUUUCUCGUACCUCUAUUGAAACAGAAUGGUUUCAUGUUCUUUCAUCUAUUGAUUAUAUGAAAUUUGAAAAAUCAAAAUCAAAAUUUCAGAUAUCUAGGAGAGGUUUGGGGGGAAUUUUUGGGGUUCCCAAAA